rnacentral:rRNA from 1 species
CCUACGGGUGGCAGCAGUGAGGAAUAUUGGUCAAUGGGCGAGAGCCUGAACCAGCCAAGUCGCGUGAAGGAUGACGGUCCUACGGGUUGUAAACUUCUUUUGUCAAGGAGCAAUUGGGUCCACGCGUGGGUUUAGCGAGAGUACCUGAAGAAAAAGCUUCGGCUAAUUCCUUGCCAGCAGCCGCGUUAAUACGGAGGAUGCGAGCGUUAUCCGGAUUUUUUGGGUUUACAGGGUGCGUAGGCGGAAUAUCAAGUCAGCGGUAAAAAUUCGGGGCUCAACCCCGUCGAGCCGUUGAAACUGGUGUUCUUGAGAGGGCGAGAAGUAUGCGGAAUGCGUGGUGUAGCGGUGAAAUGCAUAGAUAUCACGCAGAACUCCGAUUGCGAAGGCAGCAUACCGGCGGCCAACUGACGCUGAAGCACGAAAGCGUGGGUAUCGAACAGGAUUAGAUACCCUGGUAGUC